CCCACAACGAGUACUUUUGUGAGGCAGCAGAACUGAAUUGUCUCGAAGUACUGACUUUUUCGUUCUUUUCCAAGCCAAUCCAUGAAGAUAGCGGAAAGUAAGGGUUUGUCGCGCGCGGGGCGGGUGGGUGGUGGGUAGACUUCUCCUAAAAAGAGAAUUCUGGAAGUCAUCAUAAUUAGACAAAGAGGAAAAUGUGCCAGACAGGAGUGGGUGGGGGCUGUUUUCUCCUGUGGUUGGUCGCGGUGCGUUGAAGAUCCCUAACCUCAGAUGAAGCUUCUGAGUUUCCAGUAGGCCAGCGGCCGCCCUGGAGACCCGAGGCUCCAGGAGAAGGCGGCGCAGGUGUCCGGGCUCCGGGCAGGCCACACAAAAGUGUCCGAACGCCUCGAGGACCGCGACAAGGGAAGUGUCUCUUCAAAGUGCGACCAAGUGGGGAAGAAGGUGUGAUUACUGUGGUCAGCAUCUAGAAAACAGAAGCACUCCCGCCUCCUCUGUGCUACAUCCUUCUUACUGGAUCUUUCUAUCAGUGAACAUUGUGGAAGUACCAUUACUACAUCGUCAUUCCUGA
rnacentral:lncRNA from 1 species